UCCCACGCCCCCUCCCCAUGCACCUCCUCCUCCCACAACCCUCCCAGAAACCGCACCUCCCUCCCACGCCUCCCUCCGCCGUCUCCGCCGCUGACGCCGGAAACCGCCCCAAUCUCCUCCCCCUUUUCAUUCGCACACCCUCCUCACGCCCACAUCCAUCCCGUCACCCGCCCACUCGCCGUCGCACGAGCCUCCCCGUCGUCGAUCCCCUCCCUUCUCACCCUCAUCCUCAGUUCAGCUUGGUAGAUCAGUUUAGCGUUGAGAAGCAAGCUGUUAAAACAUCCACUUAAUGCAGAAGAGGCUGAAGGGGGACUCGUUGUUUAAAAAAUGAAAUGAAAACUGCUAUCCAUGUUGACUCCAUCGAUUCAUUUAUCAGAUCAGGGGGUUUGAAUGAAUAAGGAUAUCUAUGCUGUUCAUGAAGUGCAUAAUGGAUGGUGUGAUCCUCUUUAAUCAUACUGCUUCCUUCAGAGUUCAGAUACAAGGGCCUAACCAUGGUAACUAAUGAUGCACAGCUGCUUUGCUCCAGGGUGAACCCUCACUCUGCUGGUUGGAUUUCAGCCGUGGAUUAGCAACUGAAUUUGAUCCGUCGGUUCUGAAGAAACCCGGUUACUUAUUAGAAGAAGCAGAGACCACAACCUGGCAGUGGCUGGUCACUUCAGUGGUCUCCAAUUGCAUAAUAAGUGUAAUUAACUGGGGGAGUGCUUCUUGAAGUAGAUAGAAAGCUUUGCUACUUUUGAAGAAAACAAGUUGAUAAUGGAGAAAUUGGGUGAGACAUCAUUCAUUCUACACAACUUUGAGAACUGGCUGAGAUGUAAGCCUGGAAAAUAGACAUCCCAUGUGAAUAACACAAAUGAACAUCGAAGUUAUAUGUAGCGCCGGAAAUAUAUAGAAGAUAGCUCAUGCAACUGUACACGUGACAUGGGUUGUUCAAUCCAUAACACUAUGCAUUGUUGAUCGAUUGGUGAUUAUUGUUCCCUAUAUAUUCUCUGGGCAUUGACACGAACCGCAUAACAUUGCAGGGCCAUAUAUCUUGAGAUAUUCAUAAUUGCGUUUGAACCAAUUUUUUUUACAGUUGCAUACGAUUGUGUCUUUCAGAUCUAUAUUUGACUCUACACGCAAUGUCAUGACUUAUCCAUCAUAUCGCUUUAAUGUACUUAGCAUUUUCACCUACAUAAAUGAUUAUAGCAUUGCAAUGCUCAGUUAUGGCUCUAUGUGAAUCAAGAAAAGAUGGUUUAUUAUAACGUGAUUAAUCAGCAGUAAAACGAUACGGGGAAAAUGUCAAGUGAAUAGCUAUAAUGUUCACGGACAAAGCACAAAACAGACCUGGCCUUGCCGGAGGUUAUUAAAGCUCAAAUGUACAAAUCAUAUAAAAUUUUUUUUGCUAACAUGAAAUUUUAAAAAUUAUUAAAGACAAAUAGAAUUGUACCGUAGCGUUUAGCACGGGCAUAUUAUUAGUCUUGUUAAUUCACCAUAAAUGGUGGUCGCUCGAUCUACUGGUGGCAGACCAAACGAGAGUAGAAAUACUCCGAUUCAAUUUUGGAUAUUGUUUGGGCUCAUGGGACAAAAUAAUAUUGCUCAAUGGAGCAAACAAAAUCACUCAAUUCCGACGAAACACGAGGUUUUCCCUUAUUUUUCAGAUGGAACGGAAUCUAAGGGACUAAUAAUGGAAAAGCAUAUUGUGCUGAUGUACGCAUGUUCCACAUGUUUGUCCCCCUUACUUUGUGCCAUUAGUUUAGGAGUUCAUGGAAAUUAAACAGGUGCGACAUCACUAUGUUUCAGGCUCAAAUGUUUGUUUGAUCCACUCUCGCCGUUCCAGAUCCCUCUCCCAUUCAAAGAAACAAUAACAACGGAACUUCUGUACAAACUUAUGUGUAUGUAUGGUGAAAUGGAAAAGCAACGGAGGUCCUCUGGUAGGCAGCGCGGCUAUAUAUAACAUACAAGAGCUAGCCAAGCUAGGCGUGUCAAUUAAGACUACUAAAUUUGUUAGCUUUAAUAAUUUACUGAAAACAACAUGCUUCAGCUGUAUUUACAAUGAAGGAAGGAAAGGGGACAUUGGAAUUAACAGUACGCAACUUAUAUAUGCCUGUGACAAAAAAAUUCCCAUUGCACAUUGUUGGAGAGGCGAUUCUCCGACAACAGGGAAGUGCAGAAGACCCCUCCCUAAAAAUGAAGAUCUGACCAGGGGUUAGUUGCACACGACAAUCAAGAAGACAAUCUGCGGGGCCCAAGCUCCCUGCCAAGCAGAUGAACACAAGAGAUUUAUAAAGGUUCAGGCCACCGGAGGUGUAAUACCAUACUCCUGUUUCUUUGUUGGUAUGGAUCUGGUGAAAUACAAACUUUGUCUUUUCCAAGUUAGAAACAAGCAACCCUUUCUAUGUAGCAUGUCCCUUUUCUGUUAUAGUAUAAGAAGGAGCUCACA